AACGAACGCUGGCGGCAGGCUUAACACAUGCAAGUCGAGCGCUGUAGCAAUACGGAGCGGCAGACGGGUGAGUAACGCGUGGGAAUCUACCCAUCACUACGGAACAACUCCGGGAAACUGGAGCUAAUACCGUAUACGUCCUUCGGGAGAAAGAUUUAUCGGUGAUGGAUGAGCCCGCGUUGGAUUAGCUAGUUGGUGGGGUAAUGGCCCACCAAGGCGACGAUCCAUAGCUGGUCUGAGAGGAUGAUCAGCCACACUGGGACUGAGACACGGCCCAGACUCCUACGGGAGGCAGCAGUGGUGAAUACUGGACAAUGGGCUCAAGCCUGUGCCAGCCAUGCCGCGUGAGUGAUGAAGGCCCUAGGGUUGUAAAGCUCUUUCACCGGUGAAGAUAAUGACGGUAACCGGAGAAGAAGCCCCGGCUAACUUCGUGCCAGCCGCCGCCGUAA
rnacentral:rRNA from 1 species